rnacentral:rRNA from 1 species
CCUACGGGAGGCAGCAGUGAGGAAUAUUGGUCAAUGGGCUUACGCCUGAACCAGCCAAGUCGCGUGAGGGAAGACUGCCCUAUGGGUUGUAAACCUCUUUUGUCAGGGAGCAACGCCGGCUACGUGUAGCCGGACUGAGAGUACCUGAAGAAAAAGCAUCGGCUAACUCCGUGCCAGCAGCCGCGGUAAUACGGAGGAUGCGAGCGUUAUCCGGAUUUAUUGGGUUUAAAGGGUGCGUAGGCGGACUGGAAAGUCAGCGGUAAAAUCGAGAGGCUCAACCUCUUUCCGCCGUUGAAACUGGCGGUCUUGAGUGGGCGAGAAGUAUGCGGAAUGCGUGGUGUAGCGGUGAAAUGCAUAGAUAUCACGCAGAACUCCGAUUGCGAAGGCAGCAUACCGGCGCCCGACUGACGCUGAGGCACGAAAGCGUGGGUAUCGAACAGGAUUAGAUACCCGAGUAGUC